AAAGAUGGUGAACUAUGCCUGA
rnacentral:siRNA from 1 species